GACGAACGCUGGCGGCGUGCUUAACACAUGCAAGUCGAACGGAAAGGUCCUGCUUGCAGGGUACUGGAGUGGCGAACGGGUGAGUAACACGUUGGUGUUCUGCCUUGCACUUCGGGAUAAGUCUGGGUAACUGGGUCUAACACCGGACAGGAGCCUUUUCGAGUUUGAUUGGUGGAACGUUUUUUCGGUUUAGUAUGAGCUUGCGGCCUCUCAGCUUGUUGGUGGGGUAAUGGCAUACCGAGGCGGCGCCGCGUAGCCGGCCCGAGAGGGUGGGCGGGCACAUUGAGACUGGGAUUCAGCCCAGACUCCUACGGGAAGGAGCGGUAGGAGUGAUUGCAAAAUGGGCGCAGGCGUGAUGCUGCGACGCCGCGUCGGGGAUGACGACCUUCGGGUUGUAGUCGCCUUUCGCUAGGGACGAGGCUGUUUAUGACGGUACCGGGAUAAGAAGCUCCGGCUAACUACGUG
rnacentral:rRNA from 1 species